rnacentral:rRNA from 1 species
CGGACGGGUGAGUAAUGUCUGGGAAACUGCCUGAUGGGGGGGGAUAACUACUGGAAACGGUAGCUAAUACCGCAUAACGUCGCAAGACCAAAGAGGGGACCGUUCGGGCCUCUUGCCAUCGGAUGUGCCCAGAUGGGAUUAGCUAGUAGGUGGGGUAACGGCUCACCUAGGCGACGAUCCCUAGCUGGUCUGAGAGGAUGACCAGCCACACUGGAACUGAGACACGGUCCAG